rnacentral:rRNA from 1 species
UACGAAGGGGGCUAGCGUUGUUCGGAUUUACUGGGCGUAAAGCGCACGUAGGCGGAUUGUUAAGUCGGGGGUGAAAUCCUGGAGCUCAACUCCAGAAUUGCCUUCGAUACUGGCUUUCUAGAGGCUGGAAGAGGUUAGUGGAAUUCCCAGUGUAGAGGUGAAAUUCGUAGAUAUUGGGAAGAACACCGGUGGCGAAGGCGGCUUCCUGGACCGACUCUGACGCUGAGGCGCGAAAGCUAGGGGAGCAAACGGGG